GGGGGAGGAAGAAGAGGAGGGGAAAAGGAGGGGGUGGAACCCGGCUGGGACCUGGCAGGAGGUGGCCACGCGCUGAGCACGCUCCGACUGUGUGAGCUAGGGGGCCCGGCGCGGGUGCCAUCGCAGCGGGGCGCGUGGGAAGGCCAGUGUGCACGCGAAGCUGGACCCUGGGUACCUGGCUGAAGACUUUGGACUUUAACCUGGAGAUGAUGGAGAGUAUGCAGGAUAAAGUCCAUACCAAAUCCAACGCCUAGCAAAUGGAGAACAAGCCAAAACUAACAAGAUAAAAUGUAGCAGGAAAAAGUGCAAAGAGCUGAAGUGUGGAAUAAGUGGGAGAGGUCUGCCAUGCCCUAUCUGACCUUGCUGCCAUGAUCUUUAAGGCUGUGUGUCCUGGUUGGUGCAGCUACAAGAUGGCAGAAAUGCCUAAGUGAUGGUAUGGAACAGAGGAUCCCUCUUCUCACCAUUGUCUUGCAUGUUUCCUUGUGUGAACCACAAAUAAACUUUUGUUAUGUUAAGCUG
rnacentral:lncRNA from 1 species